rnacentral:snoRNA from 1 species
UGGCAACCAAUUAAGCCAACCAGGUUCCUUUACUCUCAGGGACAGCUUUGCAGUGGUUGUGAACACCCCCCUCCUUGGUAGUGUAGCCGCCUAUUUCCUAUAUGGACUGCCCUAAGGGAAUUGGAGACAAUG